CGUUCAAGAUAAGCCAUGGCACGUCUAAGUACAACUAAAUGGAUGGUGAACUGCAAGGCUCAUUACAACGGUUAUGAUGUACCCGGGAGUUCCGAAGGAUAUUUCCAGUAACACUAGAACUAAUACAUCGUCCCCGCGUUUAUUAGUUUCGCACAGUCCGUCGCUGAGUCAUGGUAAACAGUUUGAUCGACUCGACGUCCCGGAAACAGUUUCCGCCCCCAUCAGCUUCGAUGGUUGGGUAUUUGGCCUACCAUUUGCAACAACGGGUAACGAGGAAUUAGGGUUUGAUUUCGGAGAGGGAGCCUGAGAAACGGCUACCACAUCUACGGAUGGCAGCAGGCGCGCAAAUUACCCAAUGCAGACACUGUGAGGUAGUGACGAGAAAUAAUAAAGCGGGACUUCUGUUUCGCUAUUAUAAUGAGGAAUAACCAAAGGUCAUUCCGAUUAGCAACUGAUGGGAAAGUCUGGUGCCAGCAGCCGCGGUAAUACCAGCGUCAGUA
rnacentral:rRNA from 1 species